AUUAGAGUUGAGGCCAGUUAUUGAGAUGUAAGUACGAUAAACUGCUUUAGGGAUCAGUGCAAAAUGAUAUAUAUUUAUAUUUAAAAUUAAAUAUACAUGUUAUAGUGGGAGAGAAGAAAGAAUUGUGUGCUAAAUGUUGAAUUCUUGUUUUAAGGACGGACUAUGACAAAGUGGGUGACCACUGUAGCGGAUAAGAUGCUCCGAAUCAAAUUAAGAAAAAUAGAACCUAUCUGAAGAAUUGUGUGGAAAACUGUGACAAAUGAAUUUCAAAUUGGGAAAAUCUCCCUGUCCAAGUGAGGGACCAAUCAAGUGUACCCACCCACCCAUCCAAGGGGCAAGAUCAAUGAAAAAUGAUAGUUUAUCUCAAUGAAUAGAAAUAGUAACUGGAUAC